rnacentral:rRNA from 1 species
GAUGAACGCUGGCGGCGUGCUUAACACAUGCAAGUCGAACGGGAAACCUUUUAUUGAAGCUUCGGCAGAUUUAGCUGGUUUCUAGUGGCGGACGGGUGAGUAACGCGUGGGUAACCUGCCUUAUACAGGGGGAUAACAACCAGAAAUGGUUGCUAAUACCGCAUAAGCGCACAGGACCGCAUGGUCCGGUGUGAAAAACUCCGGUGGUAUAAGAUGGACCCGCGUUGGAUUAGCUAGUUGGCAGGGUAACGGCCUACCAAGGCGACGAUCCAUAGCCGGCCUGAGAGGGUGAACGGCCACAUUGGGACUGAGACACGGCCCAGACUCCUACGGGAGGCAGCAGUGGGGAAUAUUGCACAAUGGGGGAAACCCUGAUGCAGCGACGCCGCGUGAAGGAAGAAGUAUCUCGGUAUGUAAACUUCUAUCAGCAGGGAAGAUAGUGACGGUACCUGACUAAGAAGCCCCGGCUAACUACGU